rnacentral:rRNA from 1 species
AUUGAACGCUGGCGGCAGGCCUAACACAUGCAAGUCGAACGAGUGGCGGACGGGUGAGUAAUGUCUGGGAAACUGCCUGAUGGAGGGGGAUAACUGCUGGAAACGGUAGCUAAUACCGCAUACCCUCAAAUGGGCCCAGAUGGGAUUAGCUAGUUGGUGGGGUAACGGCUCACCAAGGCAACCAUCCCUAGCUGGUCUGAGAGGAUGACCAGCCACACUGGAAUGGAGCCACGGUCCAGACUCCUACGUGAGGCAGCAGUGGGGAAUAUUGCACAAUGGGCGCAAGCCUGAUGCAGCCAUGCCGCGUGUAUGAAGAAGGCAUUCGGGUUGUAAAGUACUUCCAGCGGGGAGGCGUUACCCGCAGAAGAAGCACCGGCUAACUCCGUGCCAGCAGCCGCGGUAAUUC